GGGCGCCCCCCCCCCCCCCCCCCCCGGGAGGAAGAAGAACGCGCGCCCUCCCCCUCCACCGCAGGGACAGCCUUGAGUCAGACAUUCUUCACAACCGAACCUCCCGUCUUUGCUCGUCGUCACCGCGUCACAACAAAGACGGUGAACACGGCCGCGUUAUCGCCAUCUAUCUGCCCCCCCCAUCUCCCUCCACCCGCACCCUCUCAUUGGAGCACAACGGCCCCAGACUGCUGAGCAGGAUCCAUCGGACAGGAGGGGAAGCUGCAGCGGACUCUCAUCUUCACAGGUCAGACUCACUGUCUCCACAUGAAGUGAGACCAGCAUCAGUCCCCCGCCAUCGGGGGAGGGGGGGAGACGGGGGACGGGGGGCUGCCACCUUGUGGCUACAUGGUGAAUAUCUUUUUGACCAAGUGACUGAUCUGUCUGAAGACAAACCCGCGGUUUUAAAUGAUGUAAUGGAUGUUGUUAGUAAGUGAUACUUUGACUUUUAUUUAAAGUUGGGUUUUUUUUUUAACAGUUAAACGGUAAAAAGAAAUCUCAUGCAAUUACAGUAUUUUGUUGUUUAUCUUUUUGUAUUGUUAAUUUGAAACAUUAAAACCAGUUUCUAAUUGGUCAAUGCAUAUUCUGCCUUUGCUUGUGAUGAGUUAUUUGAUUUAUUCUUUGCCGUAAGCAUCAAAGUAGAUGGACUUUGUGGCUGUCGGAUAUCGGAGGUCCAAACUUCUGAUCAUGACCAGAUCAUUGUUGAAAGGUGAUUUUCUGGGCUCUAAAGUGUCUUUGGAACAACAUUUUAGUGUUUAAUCCACAUUGUUAAAAGCUUUGACCCAUCCUUUCAUACAAACAUUGAUACCCCUCAAUAUCACUGAUGAUGAUUUGGGUGUAACUUUCUCUCAUUUGAAGUAUUUUGUCCUUUCAUCCCCCCUGAGCUCUGUCCUCUGUCUUUCGGGAUGAGAUUGUUUUUAAAACUAAACCAUUUUUUUUUCCAAUUAAAUUUUACAAAUGUGUACAGUAGCACUCUUUUAAUAAACAUUUCCACUAUUUAA
ensembl:lncRNA